AAAUGCAUGGUAUAGUGGUUUGAGCAUUGGACUGCAACUCUGAAGUCCAGGGUUUGAAUCCCUGCUUGGUCA